GAAGGGUAUGAGAAAAAUGAUUUUAAAAUAAUUUAGUAAUAUUAUUAUUAUUAUAUUAUUUAGUGAUAUUAAUAAUUUAUAAUGUUUUAAGAUAAUUAUAUAAUUGGGAAGAUUAGAAUUAAAAAGAGUUUAUUUUAUUGGAAUAGAGUUAAUUUGUUUUAUUUAAUAAUAGUAAAUUUUUAAUUAUUUGUAGGAAAGGGUAUUUAUGAUAAU
rnacentral:misc_RNA from 1 species